AACCAUAUAUGGAACGUCACAACAAGAAUAUUUGUGCAUUUGGAGAUCAUAGGAUAUUGGGAAGACACCGGCUGAAAAGUACAAUUUUUUUUUUUUUUUUGGGGGAAAGGAACAGAGAAGUGCAAGUCAAAAAGGAGAAAAAAUGAAAACAGAGAGAUGAAAAGGAAUGCAAUCUAAUUAAUCAUCUAAGGAGGCUACGAUGCUACAUUUAGCCAUUGGUUGAAUAGGCAGCUUGUCUUCUAGUACAACUUUAAAUUUACCAAGAUUGAGAAUUUUCCUUCUGAAGAAAAGUAAUUUCUAUAGCAGCUAUUACCAUCUUCAUCCCAACGGUAAGCAGCUCCAUACUAAGGAAAGAGUGAAAUAGGUGUGCUUUACUUAUAGAAGCCCGUUCCUGUCCAGAGUGAUUAGUAAGCUGUUUCACCAUGACCCCCAUUAUGGUGACUGGAAAAAGAAAAAAAAAA
rnacentral:lncRNA from 1 species